rnacentral:rRNA from 1 species
CCUACGGGGGGCAGCAGUGGGGGAUAUUGCACAAUGGGGGAAACCCUGAUGCAGCGACGCCGCGUGGGUGAAGAAGCGCCUCGGCGCGUAAAGCCCUGUCAGCAGGGAAGAAAAUGACGGUACCUGAAGAAGAAGCCCCGGCUAACUACGUGCCAGCAGCCGCGGUAAUACGUCGGGGGCAAGCGUUAUCCGGAUUUACGGGAUGUAAAGGGGGCGCAGACGGCGAUGCAAGCCAGGAGUGAAAGCCCGGGGCCCAACCCCGGGACUGCUCUUGGAACUGCGUGGCUAGAGUGCAGGAGGGGCAGGCGGAAUUCCUGGUGUAGCGGUGAAACGCGUAGAUAUCAGGAGGAACACCGGUGGCGAAGGCGGCCUGCUGGACUGCAACUGACGUUGAGGCCCGAAAGCGUGGGGAGCAAACAGGAUUAGAUACCCGUGUAGUC